rnacentral:rRNA from 1 species
UGGGGAAUCUUGCACAAUGGGGGAAACCCUGAUGCAGCGACGCCGCGUGAACGAUGAAGCCCUCCGGGGUGUAAAGUUCUUUCGACAGGAACGAUAAUGACGGUACCUGGAGAAGAAGCUGCGGCUAACUACGUGCCAGCAGCCGCGGUAAUACGUAGGCAGCGAGCGUUGUUCGGAGUUACUGGGCGUAAAGAGUGCGUAGGCGGCGAGCCAAGUUUGGUGUGAAAUCUCCCGGCUUAACCGGGAGGGUGCGCCGAAAACUGGUUGGCUGGAGUAUGGGAGAGUAAAGCGGAAUUCCUGGUGUAUCGGUGAAAUGCGUAGAUAUCAGGAGGAACACCUGCGGUGUAGACAGCUUUCUGGACCAAAACUGACGCUGAGGCACGAAAGCGUGGGUAGCAAACA